AUAGAUAUAGAAGUUAAAUUUAUUUCUAAUCACACCUCAAACCGUCCAUUGUAUUCUGCUACAUUCUGGGCUACAAUUAAAAUACAGUUUUCUGUGUACAUUCAUACAUAAGUUUUUUGCAUGAUUUUGAAUAAAUUCAAGGAUGCAUAAUAAUAUUUAUAAUAUAAUAUAUGUAUGUAUAUUAUAUAUAAUAUUGUAUACAUCUUUUGUUCGUUCCUUUACAAUUUGGUUGGCUCUAUUUCCAGAAAUCAAAAUAUCUUUAAUAGGGUUCAUUCUGCUGUCAAGGAUUGAAAAAGACUAUCGUUGGCAAUAACUCGAUUAUGGGUCUAAAACUGCGAAUCUAAAUGCAAAUACCCUUCGGUAUUAGGCUGAGAAUAAUUUCAACAUGCACACUAGGGUCCUUUUUUUCGCAAACAAAAUUUUAACACGCAUACACUCUCUUUUUUUCGUUUUAUUAUACUUAUUUUAUUAUGUUUGUGUAUGUAAAAGCAUAACUUCUAACACGAUUCGACACGGCUAAGUGUAAUUUAAAAAUGGUAAAACAAGUUGCUUUAAGUAUGAAGAUACAAAACUACAAAAAAGAUAAGAACCCAGAAAUCUUAUUGCUUUACUGGAACGCUACGGAAUAUAUGGAAAAUAUGCAUCAAAGUUGAAAAAAAGUACUAAACGAUAAAUUUUUACGUUUACCUUAAUCUUUGUACAUAUGUAUGUACAUGCUGGGGUCGGCAGGAUUCGGAUGUAUGACUGAAGUAAUACAAAAUCUGAAUCAUAAUACGCCAUCAAAAUUAGUUUACUGUGGAUUCAUGGAGGGAUCUACAGUAUGUCAAGAAACUCUUUACACACUGAAAAUAAAUUAAAUUGUUUGACUUUGGAUAAGAAAAUAAUGGUCUUUGGUUCAAAUUUAUCAAAUUUUUUUAAUUCCUAACCAUUCAGGGAUUAAUUAUAAAGUAGUUAGUGAAAAAAGAAUAACAAAACUAUAAAUAGGUAACUUACAAAACAACAAAAACAAUGAUUACUCAUUUUUGACACUGUCAAGAAACUCUUUACACAUUUCGUUUUCGAGCUCUGUUUUGAUCUCGUUCUUAGAAAAAACGGGACUUUACCGUAAUCUAUGCUUUUGGCGUUGCUCAGUGAUGCUCUAUUUUUGCAUUGACUUUGAUUUGGUUGCGAAAUUUUGACCGGUGCACAUGUACAGAGUAACAUUCUGAAAUUUUUAAAAUGCCUGGCAAAAGACUUAGUUUUGACGUUGUCCAGUUGAUUUACUAUAAUCACCAGUUGGGCAAAUCUGUUGCAGACAUGGUAGAAAUGUUUUCAGUAUCAAGGAAAACAAUUUACAAUGUCCUAAGUCGCGCGAAGAACGAAGGGAGACUGGAAACAAAAUCUGGAGGUGGCCGUAAAAGGAAGAUAGACAGACGGGCAGACCGCGUAAUCAUGAGGAAAGAUAAUCCGAAUCCGCAAAUAUCGGUCAGGACUCUGGCCAAGGAACUUGACUUGGUUGUUUCACACGAAACAGUACGCCAGGUUAUUCUACGCCAUGAAUACUCUUCCAGAGUGGCAC